rnacentral:rRNA from 1 species
UACGUAGGGUCCGAGCGUUGUCCGGAAUUAUUGGGCGUAAAGGGCUCGUAGGCGGUCUGUUGCGUCGGGAGUGAAAACUUACAGCUUAACUGUGAGCGUGCUUUCGAUACGGGCAGACUUGAGGCAUUCAGGGGAGAACGGAAUUCCUGGUGUAGCGGUGAAAUGCGCAGAUAUCAGGAGGAACACCGAUGGCGAAGGCAGGUCUCUGGGCUGACACUGACGCUCAUGCACGAAAGCGUGGGGAGCAAACAGG